AAGUCGAACGGUAACAGGAAAUAGCUUGCUAUUUUGCUGACGAGUGGCGCACGGGUGCGUAACGCGUAUACAAUCUACCUCUUGCUGAGGGAUAGCCCAGAGAAAUUUGGAUUAAUACCUCAUGGUAUUAUAGAUAGGCAUCUAUUUAUAAUUAAAGGUUACGGCGAGAGAUGAGUAUGCGUCCCAUUAGCUAGUUGGCGAGGUAACGGCUCACCAAGGCAACGAUGGGUAGGGGUCCUGAGAGGGAGAUCCCCCACACUGGUACUGAGACACGGACCAGACUCCUACGGGAGGCAGCAGUGAGGAAUAUUGGACAAUGGGCGGGAGCCUGAUCCAGCCAUGCCGCGUGCAGGAAGACUGCCCUAUGGGUUGUAAACUGCUUUUAUACAGGAAGAAUAAGCCUUACGUGUAAGGUGAUGACGGUACUGUAAGAAUAAGGACCGGCUAACUCCGUGCCAGCAGCCGCGGUAAUACGGAGGGUCCGAGCGUUAUCCGGAAUUAUUGGGUUUAAAGGGUCCGUAGGCGGAUGAUUAAGUCAGGGGUGAAAGUUUGCAGCUCAACUGUAAAAUUGCCUUUGAUACUGGUUAUCUUGAGUUGUAUUGAAGUAGGCGGAAUAUGUAGUGUAGCGGUGAAAUGCAUAGAUAUUACAUAGAACACCAAUUGCGAAGGCAGCUUACUAAGUACUAACUGACGCUGAUGGACGAAAGCGUGGGUAGCGAACAGGAUUAGAUACCCUGGUAGUCCACGCCGUAAACGAUGGAUACUAGCUGUUCGGGACCUUGAGUUCUGAGCGGCUAAGCGAAAGUGAUAAGUAUCCCACCUGGGGAGUACGUUCGCAAGAAUGAAACUCAAAGG
rnacentral:rRNA from 1 species